rnacentral:tRNA from 2 species
GGCCACGUAGCUCAACUGAAUAGAGCAUUUGACUACGGAUCAAAAGGUUGCAGGUUUGAAUCCUGCCGUGGUCACUA